AGCAGCCGCGGUAAUUCCAGCUCCAAUAGCGUAUAUUAAAGUUGUUGCAGUUAAAAAGCUCGUAGUUGAAUUUCGGGAUCAAGGGAUCGGUCAUGCCUUGGUAUGUACUGAUUUCAUUGGUUCUCACCUUCUAAAGAACCAUGAUGUCAUUCAUUUGAUGUUAUGGGGAAUUAGGACUGUUACCUUAGAAAAAUUAGAGUGUUUAAGGCAGGCUCACGCUUGAAUACAUUAGCAUGGAAUAACGGAAUAGGACGUUUGAUUCUAUUUUGUUGGUUUCUAGGAUCGACGUAAUGAUUAAUAGGGAUAGUUGGGGGCAUUAGUAUUCAAUUGUCAGAGGUGAAAUUCUUGGAUUUAUUGAAGACUAACUACUGCGAAAGCAUUUGCCAAGGAUGUUUUCAUUAAUCAAGAACGAAAGUUAGGGGAUCGAAGACGGUCAGAUACCGUCGUAGUCUUAACCAAUAAACUAUGCCGACUAGGGAUCGGAUGAUGUUAAUUUUUUAAUGUACUCA
rnacentral:rRNA from 1 species